rnacentral:rRNA from 1 species
GAUGAACGCUGGCGGCGUGCCUAAUACAUGCAAGUCGAGCGAACAGACGAGGAGCUUGCUCCUCUGACGUUAGCGGCGGACGGGUGAGUAACACGUGGAUAACCUACCUAUAAGACUGGGAUAACUUCGGGAAACCGGAGCUAAUACCGGAUAACAUGUUGAACCGCAUGGUUCAACAGUGAAAGACGGUUUUGCUGUCACUUAUAGAUGGAUCCGCGCCGCAUUAGCUAGUUGGUAAGGUAACGGCUUACCAAGGCAACUAUGCGUAGCCGACCUGAGAGGGUGAUCGGCCACACUGGAACUGAGACACGGUCCAGACUCCUACGGGAGGCAGCAGUAGGGAAUCUUCCGCAAUGGGCGAAAGCCUGACGGAGCAACGCCGCGUGAGUGAAGAAGGUCUUCGGAUCGUAAAACUCUGUUAUUAGGGAAGAACAAAUGUGUAAGUAACUAUGCACGUCUUGACGGUACCUAAUCAGAAAGCCACGGCUAACUACGUG